rnacentral:rRNA from 1 species
GGGAAGAGUUUGAUCCUGGCUCAGGAUGAACGCUGGCGGCGUGCCUAAUACAUGCAAGUCGAACGAGGUGCUUUUGUAGCAAUACGAGAGUAUCCUAGUGGCGAACGGGUGAGUAACGCGUUGGUGACCUGCCCCAAAGUGUGGGAUAACAGUCCGAAAGGAUUGCUAAUACCGCAUGUGGUCCCCGGGUUUAGAAACCGGUGACUAAAGCAGUAAUGCGCUUUGGGAGGGACCUGCGUCCCAUCAGCUAGUUGGUGAGGUAACGGCCCACCAAGGCUACGACGGGUAGGGGACCUGAGAGGGUGGCCCCCCACAAUGGAACUGAAACACGGUCCAUACACCUACGGGUGGCAGCAGUAGGGAAUAUUGCACAAUGGGCGAAAGCCUGAUGCAGCAACGCCGCGUGCGCGAAGAAGGUCUUCGGAUCGUAAAGCGCUUUUCUGGGAGAUGAGAAAGGACAGUAUCCCAGGAAUAAGUCUCGGCUAACUACGUGCCAGCAGCCGCGGUAA